rnacentral:lncRNA from 1 species
AAGUGGAAAGGAAAGAAGUGUCAACUCUGUUCUCACCACAGCGGGGCUGUCGGAUGGCACCUCCCCCCGCCCCGCGCACCCCGCCCGGCCUGCUCCCCCGCCCUCCCCUCGGAGCGCGCGCGCAUACACCUCCCACCGCUUUGCCCAAAUUAUUUUCGAUCCCGGGAGACUCCGGAUGCCAGACGCGCUCCGCGGCGGCGGCGGCGGCGGCCGCGCCUGAUUCAUUGCGCCAAAGCUGCAGAUGCGACCUCCCGCCUGCGCCCUGUGCCCCGGCCUGCGUGCGCGCCUGGAGAGACUGGGGUGCACCGUCUCCAUGGAAACCGCGGAGGAGGUCACGGUAGCUGGGCCCCCGCGCGUCACCCCGCGCCUCGCCGGCUGCAGGCGCCCGGAUUGCGGCCUCCCAGGCGCCGCGGCCCGCGUGGACUCCACUCCAAGUUCCCCGCCCCCGCUCUACUCCGCCCGCGGCUCAGGCCAUGUGACUCUGCCGGGUCCAAACCCAGAAUGGCGCACCUGGGCACCAGUGCGCUAGGCUGUGCCUCUGUCCCCGGGCUCUGGCACGCGGGAAUGCGCCAAGAAACACGUGCCCAGCUCCAAGUCGGGAACAUGUGUGGCCAGACGCCGCCGAGGGGCUCAAUGCACUUGCGAAUGCCCUGGAAGAUCGACCUAUAUUGGCGCACAACUCCAGAGCUCUUGCUAAAACGAGACCGCCCGUGGUUAACGCCGGCUCUGGAGUCAGCCGAAUCCCGCCUAGGUAACUUAGCUAUGUGACUUCAAGCAAGUCACGACCUCUCUGCGCCUCAGCUUGCACAUCAGCAAAGCGGAAUUAGUGUGAGGCCUCAGACAAAGUACGUCAAACGCCUAUCACUGUGUUUGGCACGUGGUUCUGAAAAAUGGUAGCUGUGGUUGGGGUUAUUUUUUCCCAGCUGGGAAAGCCAAAGCCCAGAAGGCUUCGCUCAAGAGUGCGGUCAGCCUGAAGGCUGGGAGUUACACCUUGGGAGCUCCCCAGCACCUCAGCCUAGACGCAAAGGCGGGAGGUGAGGGCACGCGUGCCAGCGGCCUAGGGCCUGGGGCGCGGCGGACGGGGUUGGAGCCUCCCGAGCUAGCCACAUCCGCACCCGGAACCCUGGAAAGGGGGCUCCCCGCGGUCUCUCCACCCCCGCCCUCACCCCCGCGCCAGCACCAUUAGCAACAGGCCAGCCUGCCCUCCCUCCCAGGGCUGAGGCCGCACCUGCCCCACCGGAUGGCCGCCCCGGGGCCAGGCCGUGCCCCCCACCGCGCACACUUCCUCCGCCCGCCCCCCCCCAGCGCCCCGUCGAGUGCGCAGGGGGAGGGGAGCGGGCCGCCCCCGCCCCGCCAGCUUCCCACAGCCUGAGCUGCCCGGAGCCGGGGAGGCAGGAAGUCUCAGAGCCGGGGCGUGGAGGCGGGGUAGGGGCAGGAAGUUGGGGGUGACUCUCCCAGAGACCCCAGACGGGGCCCCGGCGUGGGAGCGGGGUGGGCGGGCGCGUAGGGAUUAAGGGUGCCCCC